CACAAGGCUUAUAGUUGAACUGUAGAGGAUCUUGUUGCAGCUGGAGGCUUGGGAAUUGGGAAAUUGACGCACAGGAGGCUGGCAAACUUUCUUUCUUUUUUUCCCCCUUGUGCUGUUUUUGUAGGAGGCUGGCAACUUAAAUAUCUAAUACAGCGGUAUUGUUAUGGUACAUUUCUUAAUUUCAACUCUAUUACAGAUAGAAGUUGAGUCUUAAACAUUAGCAAUCCUUGAUAUGACUUCAUGUUGUCUUUGAUGCACUAUGGGAAUCUCUUAUUGGGUGAUAAGGGAUCGUAAAGAAAUCCAUAAGGAUUUGGGACCAUCUACAAGGGAACAAAACACGAGUCUUCAACAUUUGCAAUCCCUUUUAUCUCCUUGUUGUCUUUGACGCACAACAGGUAAUUUGUGAAGGGAGGAAUAACGGAUUGUAAGAAAUUUGCUGACUUAUUCUUUAAUUCUCAAACCACCGAAGGAAGGAAAGUAGAAACUUACUUUGAUGUAGCUUUAUGUGAUCAAUCAAUCAAUGAAUAUGAGACCAGUAGGGCCUCGAAUGCUUUCAUGUUCGAUCAGGUUUAUUCCUGCGGUUUGAUGAAUAUCAUCUUGAUUCAUCCAAUUCACGACCUCUUCUCUAAUGGUCUCAUAUGAUGAUUUUAUCUUUGUAGGCGUGUGUCCCUUUGUAUGCUGCCAAAAAUAGUGGAGAUGGAGCAGCUUCUCUGUUGAUCCUUGGUUGCGGAGUCUUACCUCUAGUUUCCAUCAUGAUAAAGAUUGUAUUACAGUUGGAUAAAAAGAUACAAAUGUCUGAAGAAACAUUUAUUGUUUCUGGAAAUACAAUUAGAACUACAUAUAUAAAAUAACUAUCAAGGAGUCUCUCUUUCCGAAAAGGGGAAGGCUCUAGUUCAUCCUAG